rnacentral:rRNA from 1 species
CAGCAGUAGCCACGGUGAGACAGAGGUCCCGAGCGUUGUUCGGAUUCAUUGGGCGUAAAGGGUGUGUAGGAGGUCAGGUAAGUCGUGUGUGAAAUCUCAGAGCUUAACUCUGAAACUGCGCUCGAUACUGCUUGGCUAGAGGAUCGGAGGGGGUAACGGAAUUCAUGGUGUAGCAGUGAAAUGCGUAGAUAUCAUGAGGAACACCGGUGGCGAAGGCGGUUACCUGGAAGAUUCCUGACUCUGAAACACGAAAGCCAGGGGAGCAAACGGGAUUAGAUACCCCAGUAGUCCCUGUCUCUUAUAC